rnacentral:rRNA from 1 species
AACGAACGCUGGCGGCAUGCCUAACACAUGCAAGUCGAACGAAACCUUCGGGUCUGGUCCCGGACUGGUGCGUGACGGGUGGGGACAUGCCCUUGGGUUUGGAAGAACUCGCCGGAUAGGGUUCUAAUACGGGAUAAUAUACUCGGCACAACGAGUGAGCGCAUUUGGGUGGUCGCGCGUUGGAUUAGCUAGUUGGUAGGGUAAAACCCGACCAAGACGACGAUCGGUAACUGGGGUGAGAGGACGAGCAGCAACACUGGGAGUGAGACACGGCCGAGACUCAUACGGGAGGGAGCAGUGGGGUAUACUGGACAAUGGGCGAAAGCCAGAUCCAUCAAUGCCGCGUGAGUGAUGAAGGCUUUAGGGUUGGAGAACUAUGUUAACCGGGAGGAUAAUGACAGUACCGAGAGAAUAAGCCACGGCUAACUCCGUG